AGGCUGGAAACCGAUACAUCUGUGUCGGGCUGUAGCCUGCAGGCAUAGCGCUAUCGGCGGCUCGAGCGCAAGCCUCUUGGAAUAGAGCGUGUGCCCGGGUGAGAAUCCUGCAUUUCGCUCGAUGUCCGCUGUCCACAGUGCUUGUCCUGAGAGUCACGCUCCUCGGAAUUGGAGCGUAAAUCAGGUGGUAAGUUUCAUCCAAAGCUAAAUAGAAGCUCGAGACCAAUAGCAAACAAGUACCAUGAGGGAAAGAUGAAAAGGACUUUGGAAAGAGAGUUAAAAGUGUUUGAAAUUGCUGAGAGCGAAGCGAACGGAGCCACAUGUCGUGCUGAGAUUGCUGUGGGUCUUUGUGAGCCUUGAGCAUGUAAGCGCAAGCUGACUGCUUAUGUGUGAGCAUUUACCCGCAGUGUUUCUCAGCAUGCGAGUCAUUAGCCACAUUUGUUUGAGGAUGGCCUUCAGCUCACAUGGUACACUUGUUAGUGUUCCUCUGUGCGGUGUGGGACUCAGACAGGUGUGGCUUGUUGACCCAGUGGUU
rnacentral:rRNA from 2 species